AUUGAACGCUGGCGGCAUGCUUUACACAUGCAAGUCGAACGGUAACAGGGAGCUUGCUCCGCUGACGAGUGGCGAACGGGUGAGUAAUGCGUCGGAACGUGCCGAGUAGUGGGGGAUAACGCAUCGAAAGGUGUGCUAAUACCGCAUACGAACUGAGAUUGGAAGUGGGGGACCUUCGGGCCUCACGCUAUUCGAGCGGCCGACGUCUGAUUAGCUAGUUGGUGAGGUAAAGGCUCACCAAGGCGACGAUCAGUAGCGGGUCUGAGAGGAUGAUCCGCCACACUGGGACUGAGACACGGCCCAGACCCCUACGGGAGGCAGCAGUGGGGAAUUUUGGACAAUGGGCGCAAGCCUGAUCCAGCCAUGCCGCGUGUGUGAAGAAGGCCUUCGGGUUGUAAAGCACUUUCAGCGAGGAGGAAGGGUGGUGUGUUAAUAGCACAUCAUUUUGACGUUACUCGCAGAAGAAGCACCGGCUAACUCUGUGCCAGCAGCCGCGGUAACAC
rnacentral:rRNA from 1 species